rnacentral:rRNA from 1 species
UGAAACUGCGAAUGGCUCAUUAAAUCAGUUAUCGUUUAUUUGAUAGUACCUUACUACAUGGAUACCUGUGGUAAUUCUAGAGCUAAUACAUGCUAAAAACCUCGACUUCGGAAGGGGUGUAUUUAUUAGAUAAAAAACCAAUGCCCUUCGGGGCUCCUUGGUGAAUCAUAAUAACUUAACGAAUCGCAUGGCCUUGCGCCGGCGAUGGUUCAUUCAAAUUUCUGCCCUAUCAACUUUCGAUGGUAGGAUAGUGGCCUACCAUGGUGGCAACGGGUAACGGGGAAUUAGGGUUCGAUUCCGGAGAGGGAGCCUGAGAAACGGCUACCACAUCCAAGGAAGGCAGCAGGCGCGCAAAUUACCCAAUCCCGACACGGGGAGGUAGUGACAAUAAAUACUGAUACGGGGCUCUUUUGGGUCUCGUAAUUGGAAUGAGUACAAUCUAAAUCCCUUAACGAGGAACAAUUGGAGGGCAAGUCUGGUGCCACGCAGCCGCGGUAAUUCCAGCUCCAAUAGCGUAUAUUAAAGUUGUUGCAGUUAAAAAGCUCGUAGUUGAACCUUGGGUCUGGCUGGCCGGUCCGCCUCACCGCGAGUACUGGUCCGGCUGGACCUUUCCUUCUGGGGAACCUCAUGGCCCUCACUGGCUGUGGGGGGAACAGGACUCCUACUGUGACACAAUAGAGUGUUCAAGCAGGCCUUGCUCGA